rnacentral:rRNA from 1 species
UGUCCAGACUCCUACGGGAGGCAGCAGUGGGGAAUAUUGCACAAUGGGGGAAACCCUGAUGCAGCAACGCCGCGUGAGUGAAGAAGUAUUUCGGUCUGUAAAGCUCUAUCAGCAGGGAAGAAGAUGACGGUACCUGAUUAAGAAGCCCCGGCUAACUACGUGCCAGCAGCCGCGGUAAUACGUAGGGGGCAAGCGUUAUCCGGAUUUACUGGGUGUAAAGGGAGCGCAGACGGCAGUGCAAGUCUGGAGUGAAAGCCCGGGGCCCAACCCCGGAACUGCUCUGGAAACUGUGCGGCUAGAGUACUGGAGGGGCAGGCGGAAUUCCUAGUGUAGCGGUGAAAUGCGUAGAUAUUAGGAGGAACACCAGUGGCGAAGGCGGCUUGCUGGACGACGACUGACGUUGAGGCUCGAAAGCGUGGGGAGCAAACAGGAUUAGAUACCCUGGUAU